ACAUGACCCUUGGUCCCUUCACUGUUUCCACCAGUUCUGUGUCAUCGGGUGGUCUGUAUAAUUCACCAUAUUUUACUUAAAGUCAUUUAACCGUGUUCUGAUGGUUCAUGGCAAAAUGCUCAGUCUUUACGCGAUGUGUCACAUAAGCGUCUGAAACGGCUGCCGCGCGUAUGCGGUCCGGGCAGGAGUCCGGCGCACCAGUGUCUGCUCUGCGGAAAUAAAUCACCACGCUUAUUGCCCUCCGCAUUUAUCAUGGAAGGAAAGGAAGAAACUCCCCUCGGAGGAAAGGAGAAUGCUGUGCUAAUAAUGGUGAUUUGUGGGGAGCUCACAGGGGAACCCCCAGUGCUCCCAAAACUAAAGACCCAAAUCAGCGUCUCUGCGUUUAACAAUAUAAGUUACCGAGGCUUCCGCGUAGCAAGAUAUAUACUUCAGUGUUUCCGCUCUCUUGCUGGUGUUGAGAGAAGAGGUGAAUAUUCCCGGUGGGUUUUGCCUGAGAAAACUGCAAGAACUGCCAAGCAAGCACAUGCUGUUGCACCACAAAAGAAACCCGAUCUAACAUCAUCUAAGCAUCACUCAAGCGGUCCUGCUCACGGCUCACCCAGAGGCAAAGGCACGACCGGCUCCGACUCUUCAGCACAGACCUUAUCAAGGGCAAGAGACGCCUUCAGAUCCUUAUGUGUCACCCUUCCAUUCUGUAUCGCUUGUUUGAGGAUUCUACAACAUACCCUUAGUUACAUAGCUCUUUUUUAAACCUUCCUUGUUUUACUUUGCAUAAUAUCAAAUUCUGGUAUUAUAUUUUAUUCUUUAUUUUUUUUUGUAUUUUAAAGCUAUGCCUUGGCACAAUAAUUUCCCACGGGAUGAAUAAAAUUUUAUCUCGUCUUUCA